AUUGAACGCUGGCGGCAGGCCUAACACAUGCAAGUCGAGCGAGCGGCGGACGGGUGAGUAAUGUAUGGGGACUGCCCGAUAGAGGGGGAUAACUACUGGAAACGGUUGCUAAUACCGCAUACUAUCGGAUAACCCAUAUGGGAUUAGCUAGUAGGUGGGGUAAAGGCUCACCUAGGCGACGAUCUCUAGCUGGUCUGUGAGGAUGAACAGCCAAACGGGGACUGAGACACGGCCCAGACUCGUACGGAGGCAGCAGGGGGGAAUAUGGCACAAUGGGGGCAAGCCUGAUGCAGCCAUGCCGCGUGUAUGAAGAAGGCCUUAGGGGUGUAAAGUACUUUCACCAUCGACGCGGUAGAUGGAGAAGAAGCACCGGCUAACUACGUGCCAGCAGCCGCGGUAAUAC
rnacentral:rRNA from 1 species